rnacentral:tRNA from 1 species
UCCCUGGUGGCUCAGAUGGUAAAGCGUCUGCCUGCAAUGGGGUUGCGCAGAGUCGGACACGACUGAAGCGACUUAGCAGCAGCAGCAGCAGCAAUGCAGGAGACCCAGGUUCGAUCCCUGGGUUGGGAA